AAAAAGUAAAUUAAAAAUCGUGUUCUGUUUACUUGUCAUUCUGGAAAACGUGAGCUUCCCUUUGAGGGAAAAAAAAAUGCGUUUCUGAGAAGGCAGGGUCAAGAGUUCCUUUUCUCACUUCUUCUCUCAGCCAGAGAAGCCCGGUCCCUCUUCACUGGGUUACCCCUCAGCCACAGCAGCAGGUGAUUGAUUGUCUGCUAAGUCAAGCACCAAGGACAAGGAGUUCCUCAUUUCCUGAUGCUGCUUUUCGUGCAGAUCCUGGUCUUGGGUUUUAUUGCCAUCAUCAUCGUCAUCACCACCACCACCACCACCACCACCAUCAAUAGACCACUUAUUAAAC
rnacentral:lncRNA from 1 species